rnacentral:lncRNA from 1 species
UCCUGGCGUUGCAGAGGGAGAACCCAGACCAGGCCAGGCGCCACAGCCACACGCUGCCCCCAAGGCUGUUUCCCAAAGUGGCACCUGCAAGGCUACGGGUCCUGGACUGCUGGGCUGUUGAAGUACAUUCGUGCACUGAUAGAAUGACGCCUGCAAAGGAACAGAGUCGAGGAUUCAGGCAGGGGUAGAUUGUGUGCGUGUGCACACUCUGUCUCCCGCACUCCACGUUUCCAUCCUGGAUACCUAUACUGCAUAAAAUGGACAUGCGUGACAUUUGGUGCUGAAGACCCAGGUCAGAGAGACUCCUUUGGGGGACCAGUCCGCUGUCCUUGCCCUCACUCUGUGAGGAGACCCACCUACGACCUCGGGUCCUCAGACCAACCAGCUCAAGGAACAUCUCACCAAUUUCAAAUCGGGACCCCACUGGAAAAUGGACUGUCCAACUCACCCGGCAGCCACUCCCAGAGCCCCUGGAACUCUGGCCCAAGGCUCUCUGACUGACUCCUUCCCAGAUCUUCUCGGCUCAGCAGCUGAAGACUGACACUGCUUGAUUGCCUGGGAAGCCUAUAGGACCAUCACAGACACUUUGGAUAACUCUUACAGUGAAGGAAGACGGGAAUGUCAGGCCUCUGAGCCCAAGCCUGCACAUAUACAUCCAGAUGGCCUGAAGCAAGUGAAGAAUCACAAAAGAAGUGAAAAUGGCUGGUUCCUGCCUUAACUGAUGACAUUCCACCAUUGUGAUUUGUUCCUGCCCCACCUUAACUGAGUGAUUAACCUUGUGAAAUUCCUUUCCUGGCUCAGAAGCUCCCCCACUGAGCACCUUGUGACCCCCGCCCCUGCCCAUAAGAGAGCAAACCCCUUUGACUGUAAUUGUCCACUACCCACCCAAAUCCUGUAAAACAGCCCCACCCCUAUCUCCCUUCCCUGACUCUCUUUUUGGACUCAGCCCACCUGCAACCAGGUGAAAUAAACAGCCUUGUUGCUCACACAAAGCCUGUUUGGUCGUCUCUUCACGCGGACGUGCGUGACAAUGGGCUCAAGUCGUCCUCCCACCUCAGCCUCCUGAAUAGCUAGGGACUACAGGCAUGCACCACCAUGCCUGGCUAAUUUUUGUAUUUUUUGUAGAGAAAGAGUUUCACCAUGUUUCCCAGGCUGGUCUUGAACUCUUGAGCUCAAGCGAUCUGUCUGCCUUGGUCUCCCAAAGUGCUGGGAUUACAGGGAUGAGCCACCAUGCCCGGCCUUGAAUAGCCACUUUGGAUCCCCAUUUGAAACUCCCUUCUGUUGGAAUUCCAAAAACUUUUCUGCACAGUCCUCUACCCAAAUGCCCUUGUGUAAUAUACACCUCUGUGUUACAGUCUUGUUGCAGACAAAGUGCAAAUACUAGGGUUCAGGUGAGGCCAUUCCAAAUUAUUUUCAAGGAAUGAGGUUUGCUUCUAAAGAUGCCUGUUUGAGAUGUUUCAGAGCCCACCUUCCUGAAGAUGUAUAUUGGUAUCUGAUACAAUGAACUUUGAUGUAUACUCAUUGAUCCAGUACUUAAAGAUGGACUAUUAUUGAAUGUUCUUGACAAGAGAAAUGACAUUAUAGAAGUCUAGAGUUCACCUAGUAUGCCAACAUGACUAUAGCAGUUGUUAGAAUUUUGACAUACAGCUGACCCUUGAACAAGGCAGGGGUUAGGGGUGCUGAGCCUCAUGUAGUCAAAAAUAUGCAUGUAACUUUUGAUUAUCCCAAAUCUUAAUAGCCUGCUGUUAACCAAAAGUCUCACUGAUAACACAGUAAUAUGUGGUAAUAAUAAUUUUUUUUUUUUUGAGAUGGAGUCUCGCUCUGUCACCCAGGCUGGUGUGCAGUGGUGCAAUCUGCGCUCACUGCAACCUCCACCUCCCAGAUAAAAGUGACUCUCGUCCUUCAGCCUCCCAAGUAGCUGGGAUUAUAGGCACUCGCCACCACGUCUAGCUAAUCUUUGUAUUUUUAGUAGAGAUGGGGUUUCACCAUGUUGGCCAGGCUGGUUUUGAACCCCUGACCUCCGGUGAUCCGCCUGCCUUGGCCUUUCAAAAUGUUGGGAUUACAGGUGUGAGCCAACAUGCCAGGCCUGUGUUAAUAAUAAUUAAGACAUUUUAUAUGUUAUAUAGAUCAUAUACUGUAUUAUUACAAUAAAGUAAACUAGAGAAAAUAAAGUAUUAUUAAGAAAAUUAUGGGCCAGACACAGUGGCUCACAUACCAGUUGUUGCCAUACCAGUUGUUGGUUUUUUUGAAUGUCAUUCCUGUAGACGUGUGCUUUGGGAAAAUUUUGCUGGCAACAGUGUCUAAGGGGUUAGAGAAGGGAAGACCCCAGAGCCAAAUAAUUCAGCAACAAGUCUGUUGUCUUAAUCAGGAGGUCAGGUGGUAAGCGCUUGGUCUAAUGUGACAGAGGAGAGAACUAAUCUGAGCUGCCUGUCAUCUUAAGAGGAACAAAGCCUCCUCCAGCGUGUUUAGGACUCAACCUCUGGAAAGUAUGGACAGGUAGAAACCUAGUCCCACUCCCAGGGUAACAAGGCCAGAACAGGACCACCAGCAACAUCAGCUUAUUACUAAGUUAGAAAAUUUAUAAAUUCAGAAAAUUUGUAAAUUGUCUAGUUCAGUUCAGUCUGGGAUGAAUUUGAGCCAACAAGUGAGCCCUUACAGGGCAAAAGGGAUACGAGAUCACAGAAUGAAGAGGGUGCAAGGAAAGGGACCAGCAGGGGAAAGUGUGGGG